UACGAAGGGUGCAAACGUUGCUCGGAAUUAUUGGGCGUAAAGCGCACGUAGGCGGCUUGGCAAGUCGGAUGUGAAAUCCCUCGGCUCAACCAAGGAAGUGCAUCCGAAACUGCUGAGCUUGAGUACGAAAGAGGAUCGCGGAAUUCCCGGUGUAGAGGUGAAAUUCGUAGAUAUCGGGAGGAACACCAGUGGCGAAGGCGGCGACCUGGUCCGAUACUGACGCUGAGGCGCGAAAGCGUGGGGAGCAAACAGG
rnacentral:rRNA from 1 species